rnacentral:rRNA from 1 species
AACGAACGCUGGCGGCAUGCCUAACACAUGCAAGUCGAACGAGACCUUCGGGUCUAGUGGCGCACGGGUGCGUAACGCGUGGGAACCUGCCCUUAGGUUCGGAAUAACUCCCCGAAAGGGGUGCUAAUACCGGAUAAUGUCUUCGGACCAAAGAUUUAUCGCCUUUGGAUGGGCCCGCGUUGGAUUAGCUAGUUGGUAGGGUAAAAGCCUACCAAGGCGACGAUCCAUAGCUGGUCUGAGAGGAUGAUCAGCCACACUGGGACUGAGACACGGCCCAGACUCCUACGGGAGGCAGCAGUGGGGAAUAUUGGACAAUGGGCGAAAGCCUGAUCCAGCAAUGCCGCGUGAGUGAUGAAGGCCUUAGGAUUGUAAAGCUCUUUUACCCGGGAUGAUAAUGACGGUACCGGGAGAAUAAGCUCCGGCUAACUCCGUG